AAACACAUCAAAUAAAUGGAAAACAACUGUCAUAUUCCUAAACAGAGAUCUUUAACUUUCUGAUUUCUUUACAAUGUUAAAAUUAUUGACAACAGGUGGAGCUGCAUACAUGGCAGCACCUAGACAACAACAGGCUGUUCCUAAAUGGAACCGUGCUGGGGAAGGACCAAGGGGUCCUGCUGCCAACCCCAUACAACAGGCAGAAGAAAAUAGG
rnacentral:lncRNA from 1 species